ensembl:misc_RNA Metazoa_SRP Metazoan signal recognition particle RNA
GCCAAGUAGUCCCAGCUACUUGGGAGGCUGAUGUGGGAAGAUUGUUUGAGUCCAGGAAGUCUGCACUCUAGUGUGCUAUGCCGAUUGGGUGUUCACAUUAAGUUUGUCAUAAAUAUGGUGACCUCCUGGGAGCAGGGGGCUACCAGGAUGUCUAAGGAGGAGUGAACCAGCCCAGGUUGGAAAUGGAGCAGGUCAAAACCCCCCUACAUAUAGUCAGGAGUAGAGCCUGACUUGAACUCAAGAUUCUAAUGCUAGUUUUCUUCCCACCUCCU